UUAGCUCCAUCGCAACAGGGCAAGUGCAGGAGGCCAGUCAUGUUCUUCGAUAACGUGGUGAUCGCCGGAGUGCUGACGGUUGGCCUCAUGGUGAUGUUCUUCGCCGGUUUUGGAAUUUUUAUCUGGAAAGACUCACAUAAACGGAAGAAACCGUAGAGCUUCCAGGGAACGAGCACGCAAGGCAUUUUGGGCGACUUCGGUCGCCCUUUUUUUGC
rnacentral:sRNA from 1 species